rnacentral:rRNA from 1 species
UGGGGAAUAUUGGACAAUGGGGGCAACCCUGAUCCAGCCAUGCCGCGUGAGUGAAGAAGGCCCUCGGGUUGUAAAGCUCUUUUGUCCGGAAAGAAAAGCAUUCGGUGAAUACCCGGAUGUUCUGACGGUACCGGAAGAAUAAGCACCGGCUAACUUCGUGCCAGCAGCCGCGGUAAUACGAAGGGUGCAAGCGUUACUCGGAAUUACUGGGCGUAAAGCGUGCGUAGGUGGUUGUUUAAGUCUGAUGUGAAAGCCCUGGGCUCAACCUGGGAAUGGCAUUGGAGACUGGGCAGCUAGAGUGCGGUAGAGGGUAGUGGAAUUCCCGGUGUAGCAGUGAAAUGCGUAGAGAUCGGGAGGAGCAUCUGUGGCGAAGGCGACUGCCUGGACCAGCACUGACACUGAGGCACGAAAGCGUGGGGAGCAAACA